GAUGAACGCUGGCGGCGUGCCUAAUACAUGCAAGUCGAGCGAACAGACGAGGCGCUUGCUCCUCUGACGUUAGGGGCGGACGGGUGAGUAACACGUGGAUAACCUCCCUCUCCGACUGGGAUAGCUUCGGGAAACCGGCGCUAAUACCGGAUAACAUGUUGAUCCGCAUGGUUGGACGGUGAAAGAGGGUCUUGCUGUGGGUUGUGGAUGGAGCCGCGCCGCAUUAGCUGGUUGGGGGGGUACAGGGUUACCAAGGCUUUGACGCGUAGCGGGCGUGAGAGGGUGACCGGUAACAUUGGGACUGAGCUAAGGCCCAGACUCGUACGGGAGGCAGAAGUGGGGAAUAUUGCACAAUGGGCGACAGAGUGAUGCAGCGUCGGCGCGUGAGGGAUGGAGGCCUUAGGGUUGUGAACCUCUUUAGGUACUGGUCAAGCAGCAACAAUGGUUGUGGUGAGGGUAGUGGGUAAAGAAGCGACGGCUAACUACGUG
rnacentral:rRNA from 1 species